AUACGGAGGAUGCAAGCGUUAUCCGGAUUUAUUGGGUUUAAAGGGUGCGUAGGCGGAUGAUUAAGCGUGAGGUGAAAUGCCACUGCUCAACAGUGGAACUGCCUCGCGAACUGGUUGUCUUGAAUGCUCCUGCCGUGGGAGGAAUGUGUGGUGCAGCGGUGAAAUGCAUAGAGAUCACACAGAACACCGAUUGCGAAGGCAUCUCACGAAGGGGUGAUUGACGCUGAGGCACGAAAGCGUGGGGAUCAAACAGGAUUAGAUACCCUGGUAGUCCACGCAGUAAACGAUGAUAAUUAACCGCUGGGUCGUAGUGAUUCAGUGGCCAAGCGAAAGCGAUAAGUUAUCCACCUGGGGAGUACGACCGCAAGGUUGAAACUCAAAUGAAUUGACGGGG
rnacentral:rRNA from 1 species